rnacentral:lncRNA from 1 species
GUCCUGUCCCCACUCAGAAGGUGACUGAAACUGGUUCUCUAUCUGUGGAGGUUGGUCCUGUCCCCACUCAGAAGGUGACUGAAACUGGUUCUUUAUCUGUGGAGGUUGGUCCUGUCCCCACUCAGAAGGUGACUGUAACUUAUUCUACAUCUGUUGGAGCCAGUCAUCCACAUGCUCAGGCUAAGAAAGUGACUGUAUCUAGUCCUCCCGUGUUGAGCUCUGUCACAGCUGAGAAACUUCCUCUCCCUAGUCCCUUGUCUUUAUCGAGCAUUCAGCCUUCUCCCAGUACGGAUGUCAGGCCUAUGUCAGUUUCCCGUCCGGGUCAGAUUAGCUCUCAACAUUCCAAUAUGGUUUUGAAGAGGUUGAAGUCACGUCUUUACCCUGGUGAACAAUCCACUCAGAAGCUAAUUGCAUGUUUGCGUAAACCAGGCUGUGCGUUUAA